GGCACGUGGUAAGCGCUCAAUAAAUGCUAUUCAAUGAAUGAAUGAAUAAAAAAACCCCAUAACACAUACAAAAACACCCCUCCUCCACCCCCAAGAGCCCUUCAUAGGCGGGAUUAUUUUUUAAGUCAUUCUCAAGGUGAAACUAAUUGCUACUGCCUUGUGGUCAACUGGUUGUGGACAGUGGCCUUUCCCCAUUGCCACUAGAAGUUGGAUCUGGGCUACCCAUCCACCUACCCACCCUAAGGCUUUUUCAGAGGCUGACCGGCUUGAAUGGGGUUUGCCCAGCUGGGGCGCGUUUCUGCGCCCACCUGCCAAGACCCAGAACAUCAAGAGAUCCCACAAUCCCGACUGCAAACCCCAGCGUAAGUAGAAGGGGAAACAGAUGAAUCUUACUGGCGUGGGAUGAGUAACCAAUGGGGAGGAUUUUUUUUUUCUGUUCCUUAUUACAGAUCCGAGUGCGGGGAAUCCCCCAACCCAAGCCCGCAGUAAACAGAAAACUCCACCGACAAAUAAAACAACAAAAAAAAAAAGGUCAGCGGCAACUCAGGGGGCUGCUGGAAGUCCGACUCCCUGGCCUUUCAAGUUCCCAACCUGAAAUGGUUUCUCACAACAGCCCCGUGAUCAAAUAGCCUCUGUCCCCCCCGGUCUGGAAAACAUGUCAGCCGAAGUCUGAUUUUUCACCCCCCGCCUCACUCCACCCCGCCCCCGCCUUCAGACCAUUAGGCCUGGUGUCUGGCCAGAAGACAGCCACAAAGACGAACAAAGCUGUCCGUUGUCCAGCCUGGAAAAAACAAGAGAAAGAUUUGAAUGCUU